rnacentral:rRNA from 1 species
GACGAACGCUGGCGGCGUGCCUAAUACAUGCAAGUUGAGCGCUGAAGGUUGGUACUUGUACCAACUGGAUGAGCAGCGCACGGGUGAGUAACGCGUGGGGAAUCUGCCUUUGAGCGGGGGACAACAUUUGGAAACGAAUGCUAAUACCGCAUAAAAACUUUAAACACAAGUUUUAAGUUUGAAAGAUGCAAUUGCAUCACUCAAAGAUGAUCCCGCGUUGUAUUAGCUAGUUGGUGAGGUAAAGGCUCACCAAGGCGAUGAUACAUAGCCGACCUGAGAGGGUGAUCGGCCACAUUGGGACGGAGACACGGCCCAAACGCCUACGGGAGGCAGCAGUAGGGAAUCUUCGGCAAUGGACGAAAGUCUGACCGAGCAACGCCGCGUGAGUGAAGAAGGUUUUCGGAUCGUAAAACUCUGUUGGUAGAGAAGAACGUUGGUGAGAGUGGAAAGCUCAUCAAGUGACGGUAACUACCCAGAAAGGGACGGCUAACUACGUG